rnacentral:rRNA from 1 species
AGUCGACGGCAGCACAGUGUAGCAAUACAUGGGUGGCGAGUGGCGCACGGGUGCGUAACACGUAUGCAAUUUGCCCAUAACUGGGGGAUAGCCCUCCGAAAGGAGGAUUAAUACCCCAUAACCCAGCGAGGUGGCAUCACCUUUCUGGUAAAUCUCCGGAGGUUAUGGAUGAGCAUGCGUCUGAUUAGCUAGUUGGUGAGGUAACGGCUCACCAAGGCAACGAUCAGUAGGGGGUCUGAGAGGAUGAUCCCCCACACGGGUACUGAGACACGGACCCGACUCCUACGGGAGGCAGCAGUAAGGAAUAUUGGACAAUGGAGGCAACUCUGAUCCAGCCAUGCCGCGUGAAGGAUGAAGGCCCUACGGGUUGUAAACUUCUUUUCUCUUAGAAAAAACUACUGGUUUCGUACCGGUACUGAUUGUACAAGAGGAAUAAGCAUCGGCUAACUUCGUGCCAGCAGCCGCGGUAAUACGAAGGAUGCAAGCGUUAUCCGGAUUCACUGGGUUUAAAGGGUGUGCAGGUGGGGUAAUAAGUCGGUGGUGAAAGCCCCCGACUCAAUCGGGGAACUGCCAUAGAUACUGUUAUUCUUGAGUGUGGUUGAGGCGGAUGGAGUAUGACAUGUAGCGGUGAAAUGCUUAGAUAUGUCAUAGA